rnacentral:rRNA from 1 species
GAGUUUGAUCAUGGCUCAGAUUGAACGCUGGCGGCAGGCCUAACACAUGCAAGUCGAGCGGAUGACGGGAGCUUGCUCCUUGAUUCAGCGGCGGACGGGUGAGUAAUGCCUAGGAAUCUGCCUGGUAGUGGGGGACAACGUUUCGAAAGGAACGCUAAUACCGCAUACGUCCUACGGGAGAAAGCAGGGGACCUUCGGGCCUUGCGCUAUCAGAUGAGCCUAGGUCGGAUUAGCUAGUUGGUGGGGUAAUGGCUCACCAAGGCGACGAUCCGUAACUGGUCUGAGAGGAUGAUCAGUCACACUGGAACUGAGACACGGUCCAGACUCCUACGGGAGGCAGCAGUGGGGAAUUUUGGACAAUGGGGGUAACCCUGAUCCAGCCAUGCCGCGUGAGUGAAGAAGGCCUUCGGUUGUAAG